rnacentral:antisense_RNA from 1 species
CUCUACGGUAGGGCGGAAGGGGGACACCUCUGGUGUGCUGGUUCCUUUGUUUCCAGUCUGCGAACCCCCUUUCGUUCUGCCACCAUA